GCCUGGCUAGCUGAGUUGGUAGAGCAUGUGACUCUUGAUCUUGGGGUGGUGAGUUCAAGCCCACGUUGGGUG
rnacentral:tRNA from 1 species